rnacentral:rRNA from 1 species
UACGAAGGGUGCUAGCGUUGUUCGGAAUUACUGGGCGUAAAGCGCGCGUAGGCUGUUUAUCAAGUCAGAGGUGAAAUCCCUGGGCUCAACCCAGGAAUUGCCUUUGAAACUGAUAGACUAGAGUGUCGGAGGGGAUAGCGGAAUUGCUAAUGUAGAGGUGAAAUUCGUAGAUAUUAGCAGGAACACCGGUGGCGAAGGCGGCUAUCUGGACGACAACUGACGCUGAGGCGCGAAAGCGCGGGGAUCAAACAGG